rnacentral:rRNA from 1 species
UUGCACGCUGGCGGCAGGCCUAACACAUGCAAGUCGCACGGUAACAGGAAGAAGCUUGCUUCUUUGCUGACGAGUGGCGGACGGGUGAGUAAUGUCUGGGAAACUGCCUGAUGGAGGGGGAUAACUACUGGAAACGGUAGCUAAUACCGCAUAACGUCGCAAGACCAAAAAGGGGGACCUUCGGGCCUCUUGCCAUCGGAUGUGCCCAGAUGGGAUUAGCUAGUAGGUGGGGUAACGGCUCACCUAGGCGACGAUCCCUAGCUGGUCUGAGAGGAUGACCAGCCACACUGGAACUGAGACACGGUCCAGACUCCUACGGGAGGCAGCAGUGGGGAAUAUUGCACAAUGGGCGCAAGCCUGAUGCAGCCAUGCCGCGUGUAUGAAGAGGGCCUUCGGGUUGUAAAGUACUUUCAGCGGGGAGGAAGGGAGUAAAGUUAAUACCUUUGCUCAUUGACGUUACCCGCAGAAGAAGCACCGGCUAACUCCGUG